rnacentral:rRNA from 1 species
UACGUAGGUGGCAAGCGUCAUCCGGGAAUUAUUGGGCGUAAAGAGCGCGCAGGUGGUUGAUUAAGUCUGAUGUGAAAGCCCACGGCUUAACCGUGGAGGGUCAUUGGAAACUGGUCGACUUGAGUGCAGAAGAGGGAAGUGGAAUUCCAUGUGUAGCGGUGAAAUGCGUAGAGAUAUGGAGGAACACCAGUGGCGAAGGCGGCUUUCUGGACUGUAACUGACACUGAGGUACGAAAGCGUGGGGAGCAAACAGGGAUUAGAUA